UAAAAAAUUUGGCGGUAUUUUAGUCUAUUCAGAGGAACCUGUUCUGUAAUCGAUAAUCCACGAUGGACCUUACUUAAAUUUGUGUAGUUUAUAUACCGUCGUUAUUAGAAUAUUUUAUAAGAAUGUAAAUUUUCUUAAGUUUUAAUAAGAAAAUAUAUCAGAUCAAGGUGUAGCUAAUAUUUAAGUAGAAAUGGGUUACAAUUAAUUUAUUAAAAAUGAAUAUAAAUUUGAAAUAUUUAUUGAAGGUGGAUUUGAUAGUAAAAUUAUAAAGAUUAAUAAUUUGAUUUUAGCUCUAAAAUAUGUACACAUCGCCCGUCACUCUUAUUAUUAAGGUAAGAUAAGUCGUAACAUAGUAGAUGUACUGGAAAGUGUAUCUAGAAUGCAAUUUAAAGCUUAAAUAGUAAAGUAUUUCAUUUACAUUGAAAAGGUUUUUGUGCAAAUCAAUAUAAAUUGAUUAGUUAUUAUUUAUUAAUUAGUAUUCGAUUAAGUAUUUUUAUAUUAAAAAUAAUUAUAAAGUUUAAUGUUUAAGUAUUAUAUAAAGAAAAAAUAAUUUUAAUUAUAGUUAAAUAGUAUUG
rnacentral:rRNA from 1 species